GAUGAACGCUAGGCUACAGGCCUAACACAUGCAAGUCGAACGGUAAGGCCCCGUUCGGGGUACACGAGUGGCGAACGGGUGAGUAACACGUGGGUAAUCUGCCCUGCACUUCGGGAUAAGCCUGGGAAACUGGGUCUAAUACCGGAUAUGAGCUCCUGCCGCAUGGUGGGGGUUGGAAAGUUUUUCGGUGCAGGAUGAGCCCGCGGCCUAUCAGCUUGUUGGUGGGGUAAUGGCCUACCAAGGCGACGACGGGUAGCCGGCCUGAGAGGGUGAUCGGCCACACUGGGACUGAGACACGGCCCAG
rnacentral:rRNA from 1 species